UACUGGAGUCAGCACCAGGUGGAUAUCCUGAAGCUGAAGCAGGAAGUACAGAUGCCUACAGGCUUCCAUAGCAUCUACAAUCCACAACAGGCAGCAGUGCGGACAGUAAAGAACAGGACUUCCUGAGUAUCUGUGGGUUGUCUGGGUUCAGAUGGACAUUUUUUGCUUGAUAUUUCUCAUGGAGCUGCAGCCAAUUGUCUGUUGAGUCUUCAGCAGUUAUGAGAAAGCUUGACUAAGCUGGAUAUCCAAGAGGGUUCACUCACAUGUCUGGCAGUGAAUGUCAACCAUCAGCUGAGGUGGAGUUAGGUGUAUUUUGAACAGAAGACCGAUAUAUUCUAACUUAUAUUUAAAGUGAAAUAUAGCUGUUACUGACAAUGAUCUACAGAGGACAAGAUGAAACUAAGACCAAUUAAGAGAGCUUCUCCAGCGUCUUCCCUCUUCCUUCAAAUCCUCCUCUCCCCAGUAUUUGUCAUCCACCUGAGGAGUUGGGUAUGGAGGCCAGGCACUCAGAUUUCAUGUGUUUCCCUAGGUGGCUAUCUCUUACACUGCCUGAACACUAUGAUGGAUUUCUAACUGAAAACUGAAAUAUCAUCUUGAUUUCUUUAUAUAUUGUUAGUGAAAUCAAUCUUAACAAUAUUUUACUUUUGUACGUUUAAUCCACGUAAAUAUUAAUUAUACAAUUUAGGAAGUUUUUACAUAUCUAUAUAGACACAAAACCUCCACUCAGAUCAAGAUAUAAAACAAUUCCAUAACCUCAUAUAAUUUCCACAUUUCGCUUUCCAUCCCAUCCUCAACUCAAGGCAGUAACUAUUCUGAUUUCUGUUAUUAAAGCUUAAUGUUGAAUGGAAUUUAAAGUCUUUCUCUUACUCAGUUCACAAUGCAGGUAACUUCCUAAAAUGCAGGGAUUAUAAACCGCAAGGCAUUUCUCUUCAAAAAGCCCAACAACCUAA